rnacentral:lncRNA from 1 species
CCCGAGAGACUCUACAUCCACAGACUGUUUCAUUUUCCUUUUUCAAUUUAUAUAGACGCGUAGAUUCUUGCUGGCGUGUAUAAAUGUGCCAUUUAAGGCAAUCAAAAAUGGCUCCACAUUUCACUUGAUUUCCACAAUUGUUGCCGUAACGAUGGACUACUGAGGAGAGAAACUUAAUUUCCCUGACAGAUCUCCCCACAUUGAAGCAACAUGUUCGUGGAAAGCCAAUACGCAGUAAUUACAGCACAAUUCCUUACAAUUUCACAAUUCACUAACAGUAUGCAUUUUCACAAUGUAAAGCUGAUUUUCCUUUAACCAAAUAAAACAUGAAAAGAGGGCUGGAAGCAAUGGGCAAUCUAUAUCAUUAGAUGAUUGAUGUAAAAAUAAAGAACAUUGAGACUGGAAUAGAUUGCAAACAUCAGGGAGCUCAGAAAACUUGUAAGCUCUGUAUCUUGAGGAAAUAUUUUGUUGAUGCUCUUGCAGCUUUGGUAGCAACCUACCAAUUAAAAAAAAAGGCUCAAAAUAAUUUACCUACUACUUACAGAAGUAAGCUACCAUUUGCAAUUAUUUCACAUCACACAUUCUUUUCUCCCAAGUUCUUAACGUGUCCACUAGAACAGAAUUUCCUGUUCUAA